GAGUUUGAUCAUGGCUCAGAGCGAACGCUGGCGGCAGGCUUAACACAUGCAAGUCGAACGCUCGUAGCAAUACGGGAGUGGCAGACGGGUGAGUAACGCGUGGGAAUCUACCUAGCUCUUCGGAAUAGCUCCGGGAAACUGGAAUUAAUACCGAGUACGCCCUACGGGGGAAAGAUUUAUCGGGGUUAGAUGAGCCCGCGUUGGAUUAGCUAGUUGGUGGGGUAAUGGCCUACCAAGGCAACGAUCCAUAGCUGGUCUGAGAGGAUGAUCAGCCACACUGGGACUGAGACACGGCCCAGACUCCUACGGGAGGCAGCAGUGGGGAAUAUUGGACAAUGGGCGAAAGCCUGAUCCAGCCAUGCCGCGUGAGUGAUGAAGGCCUUAGGGUUGUAAAGCUCUUUUGUCCGGAACGAAACGGCUAGCGUGAAUAUCGCUGGCUACUGACGGUACCGGAAGAAUAAGCACCGGCUAACUACGUGCCAGCCGCCGCAGUAAG
rnacentral:rRNA from 1 species